rfam:Xenopus tropicalis strain Nigerian Chr08_contig_674, whole genome shotgun sequence.
GAGGGAGUAUGGUUGCAAAGCUGUGACUGAUGGAAGGGCACCACCAGGAGUGGAGUCUGACUUAAUUUGACACCACACGGGAAACCUCACCCUGACAUGGAUGAGGAAAUCCCAGUAAGUGUGUCAUAACUCACGUUGAAGAUCUCCCUGCCCUUUGUAUACACCGCCCGUUGUUUCCACUAAUUGUAGGGUUUGUGAGGUCCUUUGUAAG